CCUGAGAAGGAAUCCUGGAGAAGAGGAAGAAAUGGCUGAUUCUCAGGUAAGAGUCUCCCAGGUUAGGGGCUGUGUCCUACUUUUACUCCUAGAAU
rnacentral:miRNA from 1 species